UGUGGCUCAUUGGUAGAGCACUUGCCUCACAUGUAUGAGGCACUGAGUUUGAUUCUCAGCA
rnacentral:tRNA from 1 species